GAUUUUUUAAAUUUUUUGGUUUUGUUUUUGUUUUUUUCUUUUUUAAUCUUUUCUUUAAAUCAGGCCGAGGCAAACACGAUUAUUCCUGUGGUUUUGGUAUCCCAAAAUAGCCUUUUUCCUUCCCUAUCCACAGGGAAACGCUGCAGGUGUUGUGUCAUCCUGAUGGGUUUUUUUUUUUCCAGCAAAACUCAGCAGAAAAGAAUGGGAAAAGAAACUGGGAAACUGGGGAAACUCAUCCAGCUGGAUUUCUAUCCCGAUAUCAGGAUAGGUAGAAAGAAGCAUUUUGAUCCCUGAACCUGCCUGUUCCAAGAGGUUUGGGCUCUGCUUUCCAUGUUCUUCUCCACAGAAAGGAAGGAAAAGGAUGAAAACAUGAUUGGAGGAAUGAAGUCAGGCUCAGGAACACUUCCAGGCUCAUUCCCAAAGGAUGGAAGGUGAAAAGGAAAAUAGGGAAGAGCCAGCAGCGCUGCUUCCCAUAUUCCUCUGGGAACACCUGCAGUGGAUGAGGAGGCCAGAGGGACGUCACAAGGUGAGCGUUCACAUUGCGCCGACCUCCAGAGCUGCUCUCCCGUGCCAUGAGGAAUCCAAGCUGGAGCCCCAGCACCUUCCCCCUCACCUUGCAGGAUUUUCCCUGUCCCAGCAUUCCGGCUCCAGCAGGAAAAGUACCAGGCAAGCCGGCUCCUCCGGAGCAGACAGAAUUCCAUCGGAAAUGCAAGGACAAGCAUUAAUCCUGAGGCUCCAUGGAGCCCGGCUCUGCCAAGGAGCAGGGAGCAGCUUCCCAGCAGGAUUCCUACUCCAGCCCCUCUGUCCCUGUUCACCAUCCCUUUCCCAGCCUCAGAAAUGGAGGAAAAAGCAGGAACCCCCCUUGUAUCCAGCUUUCCAAGGAAACAAAACCCAUCCCACAACGGGGGUGCUGCCCAGAAGAGUUUCACAUCCAAAAUCUGGGAAUAAAUGCAUAGAUGUGAAGAUGAUUCCUGGCAGGUUUGGAAGCACCAAAACCACAUCAGGGAGCUUGGAUCCCACCAGGAUGUCCCAAUUUCCUGGGAACAGUUCCUCCUUUCCUUGCGCCAUCCCCAUUCCCAGGCCUUUCCGACCCUUGGGGAAAGGCCAUGGAUGCCAAGCUCAGCUGGGAAAGGGAAAAAAAUGGGGAGCAAGGAGCAGCUGAUGGAUCAGCUGAGCUGCUGCCAGCAAUUUCCUGCUGGGAAAAUCCAUCCAUCAGCCUGGCACGAGGAGAGGAGCCACCGGCAGCUGGAGCCGCCAGCUGUGGAGCACAUCUGGCACCAGGGCAGGGGGGACAUCCCUGUCCCAGAAAACCCCCGGCAUUAUCCUGAUUUCCAGGAAAAAGCACCUGUUUGGGGAAUGGAGCUACAGUGAAGGAUUGCAGCUGGUGCAAAGAUCCCACCUCGGGAUGGGCAUUGGGAUGACAAUGGGAUGAGAUGGGAUUUUUCACCCCAGAUCCCAACAGAUCCAACCCAGGGAUGAGGAGGGACAGGGAUGUCACACACUGGGAUCCACUGGUGGCUCAAGGAAUCCUGGAUUACCCGCAGGGUUUGGGAAUGGUUUUCCCAAUGCAGCUCCCAGGGCUGAGUGAGACCUUUUGAGCCUUGUCUGUCCCUAUGGAUCAUGGAAUAUUACUGGGGACAUGGAAACGCCACCCUGGGGCACAUCCUUAUCCUGGCAGUGGUUUUCCAGACCCUUUUUCCCCUGAGGCUCACCAGAUCCUGCUGAAGAAUCCCAGAGAGAGCUCUGGGAUUCCUCUUCUCACACUUUUCUUGUUCUUUGCUUUCCCCUCUCUUCCCGACACUGCAGUGGGAUCCCGUUUUCACAUCUCCCUGGAUAACCUCCAAGGGACACAUCCGGAGCUGGACGGGCUUGGAAUGAGCACUUUGGAAUUCCCACCCAGGCAGCAUUUGGAGGAAAACCCCUCCAAUUCCCUGUGUGUGCUCAGUCUUUACUUCCUAGGAUGAGCUUUUCCUGCAGGAGUGGGGCUGGAUCCGACUCCGAGUGCGCAAAUUCCCUGGAAAAGUGCUGUGUGUGCAAAUCCAUGUGCAGAUGGUCCCUGCAGCCGUCUGGUGCCUCACAGAGCGUUUUUAGGGAUGCAUGGAUGCCCCACGGAGGGAUGCAGGAGCUACGGAAUGUGCUCCUUUAAGAGGGAACAGGGAUUUUGUUUGGAAGAGGAGUUAGCAAUUUGGAGCAUGGAAUGUUAAGGCUGCAGUGGGAAUUGCUCCCUGAUACUGAACAGGUAAAUAAAGCUUGGAAAAAGCCUCUGGAAAUGGGCUGU
rnacentral:lncRNA from 1 species